rnacentral:misc_RNA from 1 species
AAGGAUCAUUACCAAGCCGUGAAGGUCGCCCUGAAAAGGGAAUGAUCUUUCACCUGGCCACCCUUGCUUACUUAACCUGUUGCUUUGGUGGGCCCGCCGCGAGGCCGCCGGGGAACCUAGUUCCCGGGCCCGUGCCCACCAAAGUCUUACCGAACUCUGCAAGAUUUUUGCUGUCUGAGCGUGAAAGCGCAACCAUUAAAACUUUCAACAACGGAUCUCUUGGUUCUGGCAUCGAUGAAGAACGCAGCGUAGCCAGCAUCGAUGUGGAAGUAAAAGUCGUAACAAGGCAUCGAUGAAGAACGCAGCGUAGCCGUGCACCGAUGUGGAAGUAAAAGUCGUAACAAG